rnacentral:siRNA from 1 species
AUGCAAACGAUAUGGGCUUUC